rnacentral:rRNA from 1 species
AGAUUCAAUAUUGUUGGUAACAACAAUGUGCACUUCUCAUUUAGUAAGACGUUGUGAUCCAUUAGAAAUUGAUUGUACCAACAAUUAUGAGGUUAUCAAUAGACUGAUGUAAAGUUCAUCAAUAUAAAUGACUUGAUCUUUAAUGGUUGGGUGUAUUAUAUGGUGAGUGCGUCAUGUACUGCUUAUAACUGUCUGAUGGAUUUUAAAGGCUAUAAUAUUGAUGUUCGCAUCACCCUGAUUAUAUGCCCGAUCAACAACGGUUAAAUUUGGGAUACCUUUUGGACCCGUCUUGAAACACGGACCAAGGAGUCUAUCUAUUGCGCGAGUAAAUGGSUAUAUGAAACCUAUUUGC